CCGAGCACCGACCCACAGCGAGGCGGGAGGAGAGAGCAUGGCGGGGGUCGGGGCUGUACUGCUACCUCUGCUCCUGCAGCUCGGGAGUAUGGUGCCGGCCGCAUGCGGUGGGGAGGUCUCCAGAGAGCGCCCGAGGCUCGCGGACAUUCUGGACUAUCAGCAGCAGGCACCCUCCCACUCUUUGGUCCCUGCUGGGGCCCACCAACAGCAAUGGUGCCCCCUGGAGGAGAGGCUGGAGCGGCUGGAAGCCGAGGUGACUGACCUCAGGAAGCAGAACAGGGACCUGCAAGCCAGGGUGCUGCGGCUGGAGUCUCGUGACUGCUGCUCCACUGCCCCCCAGUGCUGCGGGCUGCAGCGCACCUGUCCUGAAGGGGCUCGCUGGGAGCCUGAUGCCUGCACUACCUGUGUGUGCCGUGACGGGACCGCACACUGUGGCCCCCAGCCCAGCCUGCCCCACUGCCGCGGCUGCAGCCACAAUGGCCAGUCUUAUGGUCAUGGGGAGACCUUCUCCCCAGACGCCUGCACCACCUGCCACUGUCUGGCAGGAGCUGUACAAUGCCAAGGUCCCUCAUGCUCUGAGCUCAACUGCCUGGAGACCCUCACCCCACCUGGAGAAUGCUGCCCCGUCUGCCGUCCAGGCUGUGAGUAUGAAGGACAGCGUCACGAGGAAGGGGCCAGCUUCUUGUCCAGUUCCAACCCCUGCCUCCAGUGCUCUUGCCUGAGGAGCCUGGUUCGUUGUGUGCCUGUGAAGUGCCAGCCAAACCCCUGCCCUGAGCCAGUCCUGAGGCCUGGACACUGCUGCCCAGUCUGCCAAGCCCCGGGCUGCACAGAAGGUAACUCUCACAGGGACCAUGGCCAAGAGUGGACCACUCCUGGAGACCCCUGCCGCAUCUGCCGGUGCCUGGAGGGCCAGAUUCAGUGCCGCCAGCGGGAGUGUGCCAGCCUGUGUCCGUACCCCGCCAGGCCCCUUCCGGGCACUUGCUGCCCAGUGUGUGAUGGCUGUUUCCUAAAUGGGCGGGAGCACAGCAGUGGGGAGCCCGUGGGCUCCCAGGACCCCUGCUCCAGUUGCCGCUGUGCUAAUGGGAGUGUCCAGUGUGAGCCUCUACCCUGCCCGCCUGCACCCUGCAGAUAUCCGGGCAGGAUUCCUGGGCAGUGCUGCCCUGUGUGUGAUGGCUGUCAAUACCAGGGACAUGACUAUCAGAGCGAGGACACCUUCACCCUGCAAGAGAAUGGCCGCUGCCUUCGUUGCUCCUGCCAGGCUGGUGAAGUAUCCUGUGAGGAACAGGACUGCCCGGUCGCCCCCUGUACUCGGUCUGCCUCUGGCCCCCAGCUCUGCUCAGCCUGUGUGCUCAAUGGUGAGGAGUUCGCUGAGGGGAUCCAGUGGGAACCAGAUGGACAGCCUUGUACCACCUGUUCCUGCCAAGAUGGGUUGCCUGUGUGCAGGGCUGUGCUUUGCUCCCCAAUACCCUGCCAACAUCCUACCCAGCCACCCGGUGCCUGCUGCCCCAGCUGUGAGAGCUGUACCUACCAUGGCCUCGUGUAUGCCAAUGGGCAGAACUUCACAGAUGUGGACAACCCCUGUCAUGCCUGCCACUGUGAGGACGGGACUGUGAGGUGCUCAUUGGUCAACUGUCCUUCCACGACUUGUGCCAAGCCUCAAAAUGGACCGGGCCAGUGCUGUCCCAAGUGUCCAGACUGCGUCUUGGAGACACAGGUGUUUGUGGAUGGAGAGCGCUUCCCUCAUCCAAGAGACCCCUGCCAAGAGUGCCAUUGUCAGGAAGGCCAAGCUCGCUGCCAGCCUCGCGCCUGCCCCAGCGCCCCCUGUGGUCACCCUCUGCCCAGCACCUGCUGCAGGACAGACUGCAAAGGCUGUGCCUUUGGUGGGAAAGAGUACCCCAAUGGAGCGGACUUCCCUCACCCCACUGACCCGUGUCGCCUGUGUCACUGCCUGAGCGGCAACGUACAGUGCCUGGCGCGUCGCUGUCCGCCGCUGUCCUGUCCUGAGCCAGUCCUGCCUCCGGGAGAGUGCUGCCCGCAGUGCCGCGAUGUCCCGGGUGGCUGCCCACGGUCAGGGGAUGCGGUUCCCGCCCGCAACCAGGAGCACUUCUUCCCACCGGGAGACCCCUGCAGCCGCUGCCUCUGCCUGGAUGGCUCGGUGUCCUGCCAGCGACUGCCCUGCCCGCCAGCACCCUGCGCCCACCCGCGCCGGGGCCCCUGCUGUUCCUCCUGCGAUGGCUGCCUGUACCAGGGGAAGGUGUUCGCCAGUGGAGAGCGCUUCCCGUCUCCUAGCAUCGCGUGCCACGUGUGCCUCUGCUGGGAGGGCAGCGUCAACUGCGAGCCCCGGGCUUGUGCCCCUGCACAAUGUCCCUUCCCCGCCAGGGAAGACUGCUGCCCUACCUGUGAUGGCUGCGAAUAUCUGGGGGUAUCCUAUCUGAGCAGCCAGGAGUUCCCGGACCCCCGGGAACCCUGCAACCUGUGCACCUGCCUUGGAGGCUUUGUGACUUGCACCCGCCGGCCCUGUGAGCCUCCAGCCUGCAGCCACCCACUCACUGUACCUGAGCACUGCUGUCCAACCUGCCAGGGAUGCCUGUACCAUGGGAUCACUGCUGCCCUUGGAGAGACCCUUCCUGAUCCUCUUGACCCCACCUGCUCCCUCUGCACCUGCCAGGAAGGCUCUAUGCACUGCCAGAAGAAACCGUGUCCUCCGGCUCUCUGCACACAGCCUUCUCCAGGCCCCUGCUUCUGCCCUGUUUGUCGCAGCUGCCUCUCUCAGGGCCAGGAGUACCAAGAUGGGGAGGAGUUUGAGGGACCGGAGGGCAGCUGCGAGCGCUGCCGCUGUUGGGCCGGCCAGGUCAGCUGUACGAGGCUUCGGUGCCCGCCUCUGCCUUGCUUGCUUCAGGUCACAGAGCCAGGGAGCUGUUGUCCUCAGUGCGCAGGCUGCCUCGCUCAUGGGGAGGAGCAUCCUGAAGGUAGUAGCUGGGUGCCUGCCAACAGCCCCUGCUCCAUCUGCAUGUGUCACAAGGGCGUCGUCACCUGUGCCCUAGUCCAGUGUGCCAGUGCCUGCAUCCAGCCCCAGCAGGAGGCCGGCGACUGCUGCCCUCGGUGUUCUGGCUGUGAGCAUGAGGGUCAGAAGUACGAGCCUGGGGAGAGCUUCCAGCCAGCGACAGACCCCUGUGAAGUGUGCAUCUGUGAGCUGCAGCCUGGGAGACCUCCCAGCCUUCACUGUCGCCGGCGGCAAUGCCCCGUUCUGGUGGGCUGCCCACCAAGCCAGCGUCUACCCCCUGGGCCCCGGCACUGUUGCCCCACCUGCGCCCAGGCGUUGAGUAACUGCACAGAGGACCUGCGGGGGACUGAGCUGAUGCCACCAGACCCCUGCUAUACCUGCCAGUGUCAGGAUCCGACAUGGCUCUGUACUCGCCGGACCUGCCCUGAGCUCAGCUGUCACCCGUGGGAGCGCCACACACCCGCUGACGGCUGCUGCCCCGUGUGUAAGGCCUCUACCCAGUCUUGCACGCAUCAGGGCCGCCAGGUAGCCUCUGGGGAACACUGGGCCGUGGAUGCCUGCACCAGCUGCUCCUGCUUGGCUGGCACUGUGCGCUGCCAGAGCCAACGCUGCAGUAAGCUCGCAUGUGGCUCGGAUGAGGCUCCUGCCCUGAGCCCCGGCAGCUGCUGUCCCCGCUGUUUGCCCCGACCGGCUUCCUGCAUGGCCUUUGGGGACCCCCAUUACCGCACCUUCGAUGGCCGCCUGCUGCACUUCCAGGGCAGCUGCAGUUACGUGCUGGCCAAGGACUGCCACGGCGACGACUUCAGUGUCCACGUGACUAAUGAUGACCGUGGCCGGAGGGGUGUGGCCUGGACCCAAGAGGUGACGGUGCUGUUGGGAACCGUGGCUGUGAGGCUGCUGCAGGGCAGGACGGUCGUGGUGGACCAGCACACGGUGACCUUGCCCUUCCUUCAGGAGCCCCUGCUGUACAUUGAACUUCGUGGUCACACUGUGAUCCUGCAUGCCCAACCUGGACUUCAGGUACUGUGGGAUGGGCAGUCCCAGGUGGAGGUGAGAGUUCCCAGUUCCUACCGGGGCCGGACUUGUGGUCUCUGCGGGAACCUCAAUGGCUUUGCCCAGGAUGAUCUGCAGGGUCCAGAUGGGAGGCUCCACACCACAGAGGCUGUGUUUGGGAACAGCUGGAAGGUGAGUGACUUGGGAGCAAGGAGUCGGGGCUCUAGAAGAACUGGGCACUGGCCCUUGUUGUGAAAAGGGACCCAAGACAGAUGUGGGGGUUUUCAUGGAAGUUGGAGGCUUGGAGCCUGUCUCGAUUAAUAGCAGAGGGAGGAUGGCCUGUUGGAAGCCUUGUCUCCUGAAUCCCUAAAGCCUGUUCUGUCUCUCAGUCACUCACAGGCUGCAUGACCUUGAACAGGUCAAGGUCUACCUACUCAGGUCUUAUUUUAUCUCAAAAGAGAGUCAGUGCUUUCCUUUGUUGUUUUGAUGUCUGACCUGUGAUCCUCUUCUCCCAGCGUCCAUUGUUCGGGAAUCACAGACCUGAGCGAUGGGCACUUUUGAUUCCUUCUGUUCCUUCUGUUCCGUUUUGAGAAAGGGUCUCCUGUAACCUAGACUGUCCUUGAACUCUCUGUGUAGCCUUGACUAACCCUCCCGCCUCUGUCUCCAAAGUGCAGAACCAUCCUGGUUUUUCCGGGGGGUGCAGAGUAUCAAAGUGAAGGCUUUGUGGAGAGAAGCCCUCCCAACUGCACCCCAUCCUAGCCCAUCCUUUGCUAUUCCCAAAGGGGGCGCUUUGAUUCACUUGCUUUCUCUUUUUUGAUACAAAGUCACACUAUGUUGUCCAGGUUGUCCUGGACCUUUCUAUCUGGCCCAGGAUCCCCCCCCAGACUUCUAGAGUCACAGGUGUGCCCCGCUAUGUUUGGCUCUUUAAAGGAUGUGUUUUCAUUAGCGUGUAUUAAUUACACAUAAUAAUGUGUUUCAGUUUGACAUUUUCAUACAUGUAUUUACUGAAUUUUGAUUACCUUCCCCAUCGCCCUCUCUUGGUCUCCCCUGUUCCCACUAAUCCCCUUCCUCUUCCCAGCUAGCCCCCCCCCACUUCUACUUUCUUGUCUUUUUUAUUUUUAUUUUGGUUUUUCGAGACAGGUUUUCUCUGUGUAGCUUUGGAACCUGUCCUAGAACUCACUUUGUAGACCAGGCUGGCCUCGAACUCACAGAGAACCACAUGCCUUUGCCUCCUGAGUGCUGGGAUUAAAGGCGUGCACCACCACCCCCUGGCCUUCCUUUUGAUUCCCCUCCCCCCCAAUCCAUUGAGUUCCAUUUAAGGUUGGAGGUCCCUGAAGGCCUGGGUCCUAGCCGGCCCUGUUCUGCAGGCCGAGAGGUGGACCCAUGUCGGGCAGUAGGUUACCGUGCCAGGCGUGAGGCCAAUGCCCGGUGUGGGCUCCUGAAGACCUCACCGUUC